rnacentral:rRNA from 1 species
UACGGAGGGGGCUAGCGUUGUUCGGAAUUACUGGGCGUAAAGCGCACGUAGGCGGAUCAGUAAGUUAGAGGUGAAAGCCCAGGGCUCAACCCUGGAACUGCCUUUGAUACUGCUAGUCUAGAGAUCGAGAGAGGUGAGUGGAAUUCCGAGUGUAGAGGUGAAAUUCGUAGAUAUUCGGAGGAACACCAGUGGCGAAGGCGGCCACCUGGACAGACACUGACGCUGAGAAGCGAAAGCGUGGGGAGCAAACAGG